ensembl:lncRNA
AACAGAAAAACUUCCUACAACUGUGCUGUCCAACAAUGGUAUUACAUUUAUUAAUAAUUGAAAAUGAAGAGCAGAGAUGUUUAAUGGUAGAAAGACUAUUAGAGGACCCUGAGGAUGUGUUAAAUUUUGAUGAAAAAACACUUAUAAGUAAUUACAGACUGCCACGCAACAUGAUAUUACAGUUGGCACAGGAAUACAACCAGCAUUACAGAGACAAAAAAAGCAUCACAAAGCAUUACCGCUUAUAGUGCAAGUGACUAAUGCCUUACAGUUUUUUGCAAAUGGUGAUUUUUAAAGUGAAGUAGCUUCUAUUAUUUUGUUUACCUCAUCAGCAGCUUGCGCAGUGUUGGUUGCUUGGUAACAGACCUAAAAGUGGAUUGUCAAGCAUGAUAAUGGAAUUUAAGAUUUCCUAAUUAGAGAUAAGAUACAGUUUUGUGAGAUAGGAUAAGAAUCCCAAAUCAGGUUAUACGCCUCCUGGUGAGCAAAAGAAGCUUCUUUCAAAAACACUGAAAAUCUUACCACUUCCUAAUGUAUAUUGUGAUUUAAAUUUUUCCCAAAUCAGCGCCUGGAAGAAAUCAUGAAAAGAACAAGACAGACAGGCUCUGAUGACAAGAAAGCUGCAUCAGUAAAGGACAACUUGCCUUGUGACAACGUGAAGUCUGUAAUCAGGCAACCAGAUCCAGGAAAAAUGCCAAAGCUGGAGCUGAGGGACGAGGAGGAUAUGCUUCCUACUGUGGCCUUCAAGGAGCGACGGUCCUUCCGCAGUCUUUCUGGCCUGGAUGAGAUACAAGCCCAUCAGCAAACCGAGGUUAUUUAACCCACGGACCUGUCUUACAAUGCCAAGAUCGUCAGAGCAACUUCAGCAAGUUUGUCUUUCUGACAAACACAAAUACAACAUAUGCACUUGAUUUCCCUGCACUUUAAUAAACCUGUAGUUUAAUAAAGUCA